UAUAAAUAAGCGGAGGAGAAGAAACUUACAAGGAUUCCCCUAGUAACGGCGAGCGAACCGGGAGCAGCCCAGCUUGAGAAUCGGGCGGCUGUGCCGUCCGAAUUGUAGUCUGGAGAGGCGUCCUCAGCGACGGACCGGGCCCAAGUCCCCUGGAAAGGGGCGCCUGGGAGGGUGAGAGCCCCGUCCGGCCCGGACCCUUUCGCCCCACGAGGCGCCGUCAACGAGUCGGGUUGUUUGGGAAUGCAGCCCAAAUCGGGCGAUAGACUCCGUCCAAGGCUAAAUACAGCGAGAGACUGAUAGCGAACAAGUACCACGAGGGAAAGAUGAAAAGGACUUUGAAAAGACAGUCAAAGAGUGCUUGAAAUUGCCGGGAGGGAAGCGGAUGGGGGCCGGCGAUGCGCCCCGGCCGUAUGCGGAACGGCUUUUGCUGGUCUGCCACUCGGCUCGGGGUGUGGACUGUUGUCGUCCGCGCCGGCGGCCAAAGCCCGGGGGCCCUAGGUGCCCCCGGUGGCCGUCGUCGGCACAGCCGGUACCCGCGCGCCGAAAGGCGUGUCCCUCGGGGGACUGCGUUGCAACGGCCUGCGGGCUCCCCAUACGACCUGUCUUGAAACACGGACCAAGGAGUCUGACAUGCGUGCGGGUCGACGGGUUCUGAAACCUGGGAUGCGCAAGGAAGCUGACGAGCGGGAGGCCCUCACGGGCCGCACCGCUGGCCGACCCUGAUCUUCUGUGAAGGGUUCGAGUUGGAGCACGCCUGUCGGGACCCGAAAGAUGGUGAACUAUGCCUGACCGGGGCGAAGCCAGAGGAAACUCUGGUGGAGGCUCGAAGCGAUACUGAC
rnacentral:ncRNA from 1 species